rnacentral:misc_RNA from 1 species
AAGUCGUAACAAGGUUUCCGUAGGUGAACCUGCGGAAGGAUCAUUAACAAAUCUGCUAUAUGGCGAGCCCGAAAGGAUCGCACAUAUAUAUUUACCCCGAGCUGGUGUUGCACUUUGUGCAAAGGCCAGCUUUGGUUGGGCAGGCCUACCCUUUACCGGGCAGGACUGUCCCGGACAGUGUUUGGAGGCCGCAAGGUUUUCGGAUGCUGACCACAUUGACGCUUGUAUGUUUGACAGAGUUACAGUUGUAAACUAAAAAAGACAACUUUUAACAAUGGAUCUCUUGGCUCUU